rnacentral:rRNA from 1 species
AUUGAACGCUGGCGGCAGGCCUAACACAUGCAAGUCGAGCGAGCGGCGGACGGGUGAGUAAUGUAUGGGGACUGCCCGAUGGAGGGGGAUAACUACUGGAAACGGUGGCUAAUACCGCAUACUAUCGGAUAACCCAUAUGGGAUUAGCUAGUAGGGUGGGUAAAGGCGCACCUAGGCGACGAUCUGUAGCUGGUCUGAGAGGCUGAUCAGCCAAACUGGGACGGAGACACGGGCCAACCUCCGACGGAGGCAGCAGGGGGGAAUAUUGAACAAUGGGCGCAAGCCUGAUGCAGCCAUGCCGCGUGUAUGAAGAAGGUCUUAGGGUUUUAAAGUCCUUUCAGCGGGGAGGCGGUACCCGCAGAAGAAGCACCGGCUAACGCCGUGCCAGCAGCCGCGGUAAUUC